UAGCGACAGGCUUAACACAUGCAAGUCGAGGGGCAGCGGGGGUAGCGAUACCCGCCGGCGACCGGCGCACGGGUGAGUAACGCGUAUGCAACUUGCCUAUCAGAGGGGGAUAACCCGGCGAAAGUCGGACUAAUACCGCAUGAAGCAGGGGCCCCGCAUGGGGGUAUUUGCUAAAGAUUCAUCGCUGAUAGAUAGGCAUGCGUUCCAUUAGGCAGUUGGCGGGGUAACGGCCCACCAAACCGACGAUGGAUAGGGGUUCUGAGAGGAAGGUCCCCCACAUUGGUACUGAGACACGGACCAAACUCCUACGGGAGGCAGCAGUGAGGAAUAUUGGUCAAUGGCCGAGAGGCUGAACCAGCCAAGUCGCGUGAGGGAUGAAGGUUCUAUGGAUCGUAAACCUCUUUUAUAAGGGAAUAAAGUGCGGGACGUGUCCCGUUUUGUAUGUACCUUAUGAAUAAGGAUCGGCUAACUCCGUGCCAGCAGCCGCGGUAAUACGGAGGAUCCGAGCGUUAUCCGGAUUUAUUGGGUUUAAAGGGUGCGUAGGCGGCCUUUUAAGUCAGCGGUGAAAGUCUGUGGCUCAACCAUAGAAUUGCCGUUGAAACUGGGGGGCUCGAGUAUGUUUGAGGCAGGCGGAAUGCGUGGUGUAGCGGUGAAAUGCUUAGAUAUCACGCAGAACCCCGAUUGCGAAGGCAGCCUGCCAAGCCAUGACUGACGCUGAUGCACGAAAGCGUGGGGAUCAAACAGGAUUAGAUACCCUGGUAGUCCACGCAGUAAACGAUGAUCACUAGCUGUUUGCGAUACAUUGUAAGCGGCACAGCGAAAGCGUUAAGUGAUCCACCUGGGGAGUACGCCGGCAACGGUGAAACUCAAAGGAAUUGACGGGGGCCCGCACAAGCGGAGGAACAUGUGGUUUAAUUCGAUGAUACGCGAGGAACCUUACCCGGGUUUGAACGCAUUCGGACCGAGGUGGAAACACCUUUUCUAGCAAUAGCCGUUUGCGAGGUGCUGCAUGGUUGUCGUCAGCUCGUGCCGUGAGGUGUCGGCUUAAGUGCCAUAACGUGCGCAACCCUUGCCACUAGUUACUAACAGGUAAAGCUGAGGACUCUGGUGGGACUGCCAGCGUAAGCUGCGAGGAAGGCGGGGAUGACGUCAAAUCAGCACGGCCCUUACAUCCGGGGCGACACACGUGUUACAAUGGCGUGGACAAAGGGAAGCCACCUGGCGACAGGGAGCGAAUCCCCAAACCACGUCUCAGUUCGGAUCGGAGUCUGCAACCCGACUCCGUGAAGCUGGAUUCGCUAGUAAUCGCGCAUCAGCCAUGGCGCGGUGAAUACGUUCCCGGGCCUUGUACACACCGCCCGUCAAGCCAUGGGAGCCGGGGGUACCUGAAAGGCGUAACCGCGAGGAGCGCCCUAGGGUAAAACUGC
rnacentral:rRNA from 1 species